GAAGCUAGCCAGACAAUCGCUGCUUAUCGCAAGAUAAGGGGAGGAAAGUCCGGGCUCCAAAGGGCAGGGUGCCAGGUAACACCUGGGCGACGAAAGUCGACGACUAGUGCAACAGAGAGCAUACCGCCGAUGGCCUGUUUAGACAGGAUCAGGUAAGGGUGAAAGGGUGCGGUAAGAGCGCACCGCGCAACUGGUAACAGUUUGUGGCACGGUAAACUCCACUCGGAGCAAGGUCAAAUAGGGGUUCAUUGGCGCGGCCCGCGUUGAACCCGGGUAGACUGCUUGACCGUUAGGGUGACUUAACGGCUAGACGAAUGAUUGUCCACGACAGAACCCGGCUUAUCGGCUAGCUUCCCUU
rnacentral:RNase_P_RNA from 1 species